rnacentral:rRNA from 1 species
UACGGGGGGGGCAAGCGUUGUUCGGAAUUACUGGGCGUAAAGGGCUCGUAGGUGGCCAACUAAGUCAGACGUGAAAUCCCUCGGCUUAACCGGGGAACUGCGUCUGACACUGGAUGGCUUGAGGUUGGGAGAGGGAUGCGGAAUUCCAGGUGUAGCGGUGAAAUGCGUAGAUAUCUGGAGGAACACCGGUGGCGAAGGCGGCAUCCUGGACCAAUUCUGACGCUGAGGAGCGAAAGCCAGGGGAGCAAACGGG